rnacentral:rRNA from 1 species
GGGUUGUGAGGUUAAGCGACUAAGCGUACACGGUGGAUGCCCUGGCAGUCAGAGGCGAUGAAGGACGUGCUAAUCUGCGAUAAGCGCCGGUAAGGUGAUAUGAACCGUUAUAACCGGCGAUUUCCGAAUGGGGAAACCCAGUGUGAUUCGUCACACUAUCAUUAACUGAAUCCAUAGGUUAAUGAGGCGAACCGGGGGAACUGAAACAUCUAAGUACCCCGAGGAAAAGAAAUCAACCGAGAUUCCCCCAGUAGCGGCGAGCGAACGGGGAGGAGCCCAGAGCCUGAAUCAGCAUGUGUGUUAGUGGAAGCGUCUGGAAAGGCGCGCGAUACAGGGUGACAGCCCCGUACACAAAAGCGCAUGUGCUGUGAGCUCGAUGAGUAGGGCGGGACACGUGGUAUCCUGUCUGAAUAUGGGGGGACCAUCCUCCAAGGCUAAAUACUCCUGACUGACCGAUAGUGAACCAGUACCGUGAGGGAAAGGCGAAAAGAACCCCGGCGAGGGGAGUGAAAAAGAACCUGAAACCGUGUACGUACAAGCAGUGGGAGCACCCUUUGGGGUGUGACUGCGUACCUUUUGUAUAAUGGGUCAGCGACUUAUAUUCUGUAGCAAGGUUAACCGUAUAGGGGAGCCGCAGGGAAACCGAGUCUUAAUUGGGCGUUAAGUUGCAGGGUAUAGACCCGAAACCCGGUGAUCUAGCCAUGGGCAGGUUGAAGGUUGGGUAACACUAACUGGAGGACCGAACCGACUAAUGUUGAAAAAUUAGCGGAUGACCUGUGGCUGGGGGUGAAAGGCCAAUCAAACCGGGAGAUAGCUGGUUCUCCCCGAAAGCU